rnacentral:lncRNA from 1 species
CGCGGAGGUCAUGGAUCACCUAGUGGAUGCCUUUCAGAGAGGCAUCGAUGGACAUCUGGCAGGAGAAGAAGAAGAAGAUGUUGAAGAAGAUGACUGGAGACAGUCCCGUUGAGUACUCCUUUAAGAACAAGAGUCCUGCGAAGACACAGCCCUUCCUCUAGCGCCAAUUCUGUUGGUGUAGAAUUCCACCGAUGCCGGAGAAGCUGAAGUCG